rnacentral:lncRNA from 1 species
AUGCAGGGCUAUAGGGAUGGAAGGGAUUUUUUUUGGGGGGGGGGGGGGGGGGUGUGUGUGAAAAUGUUUUCCAGGGAUGGGGUAGGGUGGAACAGGCCCCAGACUGGAGGUUUGCUGGAUCAGGGAUUUUACAGGGCUGGGGAAAGUCUCAAAGAGGAGCCUGGCUGGUUUGUAAGAGGGAGCAGGGUGCUGCAGGUGGUGCUGUGUCAGGAUGAGGGGGGGGCAAGGCACGAAGUGGGACCCUUGCCCCUCUCCCAGGUGGGCACUGGCCCCCCCGAUGGCUCUGAGCUGGGCUCAGAGUCCCCCACCCAACCAUGGGUUCUUCUGGAGGAAAUGGGGGACACAACGCCCUACCCAAGGCCCGGCUCUAACCGGAGGGUAAUCACUAGCAAAUGUUUGCAGGGCGCUUGUUUAAAGGGGGUGGGGAAGAGGGGGGGCUUCGCAGCAGCUAAGAACAAAGCAGGGGGGGAGCGAAGCGGGGCAGAUCCGGUCCGGCCGUCCCCCACCGGCUGCCGGGGCCCGGCAGAACUGGAGACCCCUCUUGCACCCUGCCACAGCCCCCCCACCCCCCCCCAGCCCCCCCCCCCCCCGGCCUCCUGCCUUUGCAACCCGCCUUGUAACAAACUAACGAUGGAAAAUCCGAGGCAUUUAAGUGGCUCCCGAAUCCGCCCGGGAACCGUGAUUGAGAGAAGUCAAAUAAAAUUUGUCAUCUUUAAAAUGCAGGAGGACGUUAAUGGUGUGUUAGCCCGGAUGAUUAAUACAAGCGCCUGCAAACAACCCUCCAACGUUUCCACCCUCCGCUGCAAGAUGAAUCGCUGGAAAGCGCCGUUAAUCGCUAACAUACCUCGGGCCCAAAGCCCCUUCCUGCCCCGCCGUGCUGUGAUCGCCACCGCCGUGCCCAGCCCGUCCUCACUGGGAGUCACUGGAGCAAGAGCAGGGGUCGGCCCCAGCAUCACCCAAACAGGCUGGGGGCUCCCGCACGGAGCCAUCACCCUGGGGAUCUGUCUCCCAUGGGUGCAGAGGUGA